CCAGAGAACUUAGCAGAGAUGCUUUGGUGCCUUCGGGAACUCUGAGACAGGUGCUGCAUGGCUGUCGUCAGCUCGUGUUGUGAAAUGUUGGGUUAAGUCCCGCAACGAGCGCAACCCUUAUCCUUUGUUGCCAGCGGCUCGGCCGGGAACUCAAAGGAGACUGCCGGUGAUAAACCGGAGGAAGGUGGGGAUGACGUCAAGUCAUCAUGGCCCUUACGGCCAGGGCUACACACGUGCUACAAUGGCGCAUACAAAGAGAAGCGACCUCGCGAGAGCAAGCGGACCUCAUAAAGUGCGUCGUAGUCCGGAUUGGAGUCUGCAACUCGACUCCAUGAAGUCGGAAUCGCUAGUAAUCGUAGAUCAGAAUGCUACGGUGAAUACGUUCCCGGGCCUUGUACACACCGCCCGUCACACCAUGGGAGUGGGUUGCAAAAGAAGUAGGUAGCUUAACCUUCGGGAGGGCGCUUACCACUUUGUGAUUCAUGACUGGGGUGAAGUCGUAACAAGGUAAGCGUAGAUGA
rnacentral:rRNA from 1 species